CCUACGGGUGGCAGCAGUGGGGAAUAUUGGACAAUGGGGGCAACCCUGAUCCAGCCAUGCCGCGUGUGUGAAGAAGGCCCUCGGGUUGUAAAGCACUUUCAGUGAGGAAGAACGCCUGGUGGUUAAUACCCAUCAGGAAAGACAUCACUCACAGAAGAAGCACCGGCUAACUCCGUGCCAGCAGCCGCGGUAAUACGGAGGGUGCGAGCGUUAAUCGGAAUUACUGGGCGUAAAGCGCGCGUAGGUGGCUUGAUAAGCCGGUUGUGAAAGCCCCGGGCUCAACCUGGGAACGGCAUCCGGAACUGUCAAGCUAGAGUGCAGGAGAGGAAGGUAGAAUUCCCGGUGUAGCGGUGAAAUGCGUAGAGAUCUGGAGGAAUACCAGUGGCGAAGGCGGCCUUCUGGACUGACACUGACACUGAGGUGCGAAAGCGUGGGUAGCAAACAGGAUUAGAUACCCUAGUAGUC
rnacentral:rRNA from 1 species